UCCCUGGUGGUCCAGUGGUUAAGACUCUGCACUUUAAAUGCAAGGAGCAUGAGUUCAACCCCUAGUCAGGGAA
rnacentral:tRNA from 1 species